ACCUAUAAAUAGGGGGACAAAAAACUGAACAAGGCUGUUAAAGAAAUAUUGCUAAUACAAGACUUCUACCGUUAUGGGGAGCAACAACAUGGACGAGAACUUUUUUCUUGACAUUCCAGAUGCCGCGCUAGAAGCUUUAAAUUUGAACAAGAUGGAAGUCAAAACCACCCAAUAGGUUUUCCUGAAAUUACAGACGAAGGUGUGAACUGUUUUUUAAAUAUGUGUUUUUUUUUAAAUUGACGUUGGAAAUAGUGUGCAUUUUAGGGGUUUGUUUGUUAUUGUUAGGGAAAAAAACCCUUAAAGGUUUUACUGUACAAAAGCUGCCGUUGUACAGCCCCAAGGGGGGUGUAAACUAAAAGAGCGCUUUAUUUUGUACAUUAUACUUAAACGCGGUUUUUAGCCCCCUUAUUGCAAAAACGUUUUUAA